GGAUGAACGCUGGCGGCGUGCCUAAUACAUGCAAGUCGAACGCACAGCGAAAGGUGCUUGCACCUUUCAAGUGAGUGGCGAACGGGUGAGUAACACGUGGACAACCUGCCUCAAGGCUGGGGAUAACAUUUGGAAACAGAUGCUAAUACCGAAUAAAACUUAGUGUCGCAUGACACAAAGUUAAAAGGCGCUUCGGCGUCACCUAGAGAUGGAUCCGCGGUGCAUUAGUUAGUUGGUGGGGUAAAGGCCUACCAAGACAAUGAUGCAUAGCCGAGUUGAGAGACUGAUCGGCCACAUUGGGACUGAGACACGGCCCAAACUCCUACGGGAGGCUGCAGUAGGGAAUCUUCCACAAUGGGCGAAAGCCUGAUGGAGCAACGCCGCGUGUGUGAUGAAGGCUUUCGGGUCGUAAAGCACUGUUGUAUGGRAAGAACAGCUAGAAUAGGAAAUGAUUUUAGUUUGACGG
rnacentral:rRNA from 1 species